AGAGUUUGAUCAUGGCUCAGAACGUACGCUGGCGGCACGCCUAACACAUGCAAGUCGAACGAAGUAGCAAUACUUAGUGGCAGACGGGUGAGUAACAUGUGGGUAUCUGCCCUUUGGCCUGGAAUAACACGAGGAAACUUGUGCUAAUACCGGAUAAGUCUUUACGGAGAAAGCUUUAUGCACCAUUGGAUGAGCCCGCACUUGAUUAGUUAGUUGGUAGGGUAAUGGCCUACCAAGACUGUGAUCAAUAGCUGAUUUGAGAGGAUGAUCAGCCACAUUGGGACUGAGACACGGCCCAAACUCCUACGGGAGGCAGCAGUGGGGAAUCUUGCACAAUGGAGGAAACUCUGAUGCAGCGAUGCCGCGUGAGUGAAGAAGGCCCUUGGGUUGUAAAGCUCUUUCGUCGGGGAAGAAAAUGACUGUACCCGGAUAAGAAGGUCCGGCUAACUUCGUGCCAGCAGCCGCGGUAAUACGAAGGGACCUAGCGUAGUUCGGAAUUACUGGGCUUAAAGAGUUCGUAGGUGGUUGAAAAAGUUGGUGGUGAAAUCCCAGAGCUUAACUCUGGAACUGCCAUCAAAACUUUUCAGCUAGAGUAUGAUAGAGGAAAGCAGAAUUUCUAGUGUAGAGGUGAAAUUCGUAGAUAUUAGAAAGAAUACCAAUUGCGAAGGCAGCUUUCUGGAUCAUUACUGACACUGAGGAACGAAAGCAUGGGUAGCGAAGAGGAUUAGAUACCCUCGUAGUCCAUGCCGUAAACGAU
rnacentral:rRNA from 1 species